UACGACUACAUAUCAGGCAUAUCAAUAAGCGGAGGAAAAGAAACUAACUAGGAUUCCCUUAGUAACGGCGAGUGAAGCGGGAAGGGCUCAAAUUUGAAAUCUUCAAGGUUCUACCUUGACGAAUUGUAGUUUAAAGAAGUGUUUUCUGUUGGAGUUUUGGUAAAAGUUCUUUGGAAUAGGACAUCAUAGAGGGUGAGAAUCCCGUAUUUGACCAUUUCUUCCAGCUGUGUGAUACACUUUCAAAGAGUCGGAUUGUUUGGGAAUGCAGUCCAAAAUGGGUGGUAAAUUUCAUCUAAAGCUAAAUAUUGGCGAGAGACCGAUAGCGAACAAGUACCGUGAGGGAAAGAUGAAAAGAACUUUGAAAAGAGAGUUAAACAGUACGUGAAAUUGUCAAAAGGGAAGCGUUUGACACCAGUGUUGUUUUCUCGAAAAUCAAUUAAAAAUGGCCGGAUUUUGUGUUGUAUUGACUUUAUCAGCUUUCUGCACUUUUUUCUUGUCUUUUUUAAUGCACUUUUCGUUUAGCAAGUCAACAUCAAUUUCUUUUGUUGUAAAAGAGUCAUUGGAAGGUGGCUUUCAUUUCGGUGAAAGUGUUUAUAGCCUUUGACUUCUGCAAUCGGAGAGAUUGAGGUCUGCAGCGUAGAUCCUUCGGGGUUAGAUACAUUUGUGCUAAGUUAUAGUUUUUCAUAGACAACAUGUUGACUAUGAUUAAUCAUGUAGCUUACUCGCUUAUGCUAUUUUACCUACGCUUAGGAUGUUGAUCUCUCACAGUCGAGC
rnacentral:rRNA from 1 species